rnacentral:rRNA from 1 species
AAGCGACUAAGCGUACACGGUGGAUGCCCUGGCAGUCAGAGGCGAUGAAGGACGUGCUAAUCUGCGAUAAGCGUCGGUAAGGUGAUAUGAACCGUUAUAACCGGCGAUUUCCGAAUGGGGAAACCCAGUGUGUUUCGACACACUAUCAUUAACUGAAUCCAUAGGUUAAUGAGGCGAACCGGGGGAACUGAAACAUCUAAGUACCCCGAGGAAAAGAAAUCAACCGAGAUUCCCCCAGUAGCGGCGAGCGAACGGGGAGCAGCCCAGAGCCUGAAUCAGUGUGUGUGUUAGUGGAAGCGUCUGGAAAGGCGCGCGAUACAGGGUGACAGCCCCGUACACAAAAAUGCACAUGCUGUGAGCUCGAUGAGUAGGGCGGGACACGUGGUAUCCUGUCUGAAUAUGGGGGGACCAUCCUCCAAGGCUAAAUACUCCUGACUGACCGAUAGUGAACCAGUACCGUGAGGGAAAGGCGAAAAGAACCCCGGCGAGGGGAGUGAAAAAGAACCUGAAACCGUGUACGUACAAGCAGUGGGAGCCUCUUUAUGGGGUGACUGCGUACCUUUUGUAUAAUGGGUCAGCGACUUAUAUUCUGUAGCAAGGUUAACCGAAUAGGGGAGCCGAAGGGAAACCGAGUCUUAACUGGGCGUUAAGUUGCAGGGUAUAGACCCGAAACCCGGUGAUCUAGCCAUGGGCAGGUUGAAGGUUGGGUAACACUAACUGGAGGACCGAACCGACUAAUGUUGAAAAAUUAGCGGAUGACUUGUGGCUGGGGGUGAAAGGCCAAUCAAACCGGGAGAUAGCUGGUUCUCCCCGAAAGCUAUUUAGGUAGCGCCUCGUGAAUUCAUCUCCGGGGGUAGAGCACUGUUUCGGCAAGGGGGUCAUCCCGACUUACCAACCCGAUGCAAACUGCGAAUACCGGAGAAUGUUAUCACGGGAGACACACGGCGGGUGCUAACGUCCGUCGUGAAGAGGGAAACAACCCAGACCGCCAGCUAAGGUCCCAAAGUCAUGGUUAAGUGGGAAACGAUGUGGGAAGGCCCAGACAGCCAGGAUGUUGGCUUAGAAGCAGCCAUCAUUUAAAGAAAGCGUAAUAGCUCACUGGUCGAGUCGGCCUGCGCGGAAGAUGUAACGGGGCUAAACCAUG